AUCACGUAUCUCAUAAUUUUGUUAAUAUUUCUAAAUUAAUCAUUUCUAUAUUUAGCCUAUUUUUUCUAAAAAUAGUAUAUAAAAGCGAAGAUUUUCUUAACAUAAUUGCAAUAAAAAAUGGAAACAAAUUUCUAUCUUGUAGGACUUUUAUAUACUUUGAUUAUUAUAAUGAUCAUGAGUCACUGGAACGAGGGAUGCCCUAACUAUAUCUAUGAUCCACAAAGCAAAGAACUACAAAGACAGCUCAGUUAUUUAAAAAAAUUUGAUAAGACCACAUUUUGCCACGAUUAUUGCACCUCAAAUGAGUAUUUAUGCUGUAUGUGUUGAAUUUGCCAACUCUGCUAAGGGUGCUAUCGAAUUUAUUUCAAGAUAUACACUAUUUUAUUAUAUUAAAAAAUAAAUGAAUUUGGGGAUUUAUGAAAGAAAAAUUUAUUUGUAAAAAUUUAAACCCAUUUGUAUUAUAUUAAUUUUUGUA